GUGUCAGCAGCCGCGGUAAUACCAGCUCUCCGAGUGGUGGGGACGUUUAUUGGGCCUGAAGCAUCCGUAGCCAGCUGAGCAAGUCCCCAGUUAAAUCCAGCGAUUUAAUCGUUGGACUGCUGGGGAUACUGUCCGGCUAGGGGGUGGGAGAGGCCGACGGUAUUCCCGGGGUAGGGGUGAAAUCCUAUAAUCCCGGGAGGACCACCAGUGGCGAAGGCUGUUGGCUAGAACAUGCCCGACGGUGAGGGAUGAAAGCUGGGGGAGCGAACCGGAUUAGAUACCCGGGUAGUCCCAGCUGUAAACGAUGCAGGCUAGGUGUUAGGGCGGCCACGUGCCGCUCUAGUGCCGCAGGGAAGCUGUUAAGCCUGCCGCCUGGGGAGUACGGCCGCAAGGCUGAAACUCAAAGGAAUUGGCGGGG
rnacentral:rRNA from 1 species